rnacentral:rRNA from 1 species
CUUCCAGAUCGGCCUGCUCGAUAUCAGCUAGUUGGUAGGGUAAUGGCCUACCAAGGCAAUGACGUCUAGGGGAGCUGAGAGGCUGACCCCCACCGAUGGUACUGAGAUACGGACCAUACACCUACGGGUGGCCGCAGUCGAGAAUCUUCCGCAAUGGACGCAAGUCUGACGGAGCGACGCCGCGUGAUCGAUGAAGUUCUUCGGAACGUAAAGAUCUUUUAUGAGGGAGAAAGUUUAUUGAUAGUACCUCAAGAAUAAGGGGUUGCUAAACUCGUGCCAGCAGCAGCGGUAAUACGAGUGCCCCGAGCGUUAUCCGGAAUUAUUGGGCGUAAAGGGUGUGUAGGUGGUUUUGUUAGUCUCUUGUUAAACCUCCCGGCUCAACCGGGAAGAUGCAAGGGAAACGGCAAAACUAGAGGAUGCGAGGGGUCUGUGGAACUCAUGGUGUAGCGGUGAAAUGCGUUGAUAUCAUGGGGAACACCAAAAGCGAAGGCAGCAGACUGGAGCACUCCUGACACUGAAACACGAAAGCGUGGGUAGCGAAUGGGAUUAGAUACCCCAGUAGUCCACGCCCUAAACGAUCUUCUCUGGUUUUUCGGAGUAUCGACCCUCUGAGAGACGAAGCUAACGCGUUAAGAGAAGCGCCUGGGUAGUACGACCGCAAGGUUAAAACUCAAAGAAAUAGACGGGGACUUGCACAAGCGGUGGAUCAUGUGGUUUAAUUCGACGAUAAACGAAGAACCUUACCAAGAUUUGAAACCUAGUUGAAGACAAGAGGAAACUUUUGUCGCCGCAAGGCAAUUAGGCAGGUGAUGCAUGGCCGUCGUCAGUUCGUGGUUUGAAUUGUUCCCUUAAGUGGGGUAACGAACGCAACCCUCGUUGCCUGUUAUAUAUGUCAGGCGAGACUGCCCUCGAUUUUGCUCGUGAAAGUAGUUGAUAGUUGAUAGUGAAUAGUUGAUAGCAGAUGCGAAUGCAUUUUCUGUAGACUAUAGACUAAUAACUAAAAACUGUUUUCGUGAAUAGAAUCGAGGGAGGAAGGCGAGGAUGACGCCAGGUCAGCAUGUCCCUCUGAUAUCCUGGGCUGCACGCAUGAUACAAUGCACAUGACAACGGGUCGCGACGGGGUAACCCUGAGCUAAUCCUUAUAAACAUGUGCCCAGUUCGGAUUGAGGUCUGCAACUCGACCUCAUGAAGCCGGAAUCGCUAGUAAUCGCGGGUCAGCUAUACCGCGGUGAAUACGUUCUCAAGUCUUGUACUCACAAUAAACGCGCACAGCAGCGCAAUAAUCUACGCGGUUAAAAUCCGCGCCUCGGCAUCGUCUGCCGAGCGUAGCAGAAAGGCAGUCACAACUCCGCGAGG